GUGAAAUGAUGAUUCUGUUUAUCCAUUCGCUGAGUACGCUGCACUGACCUUCUUCCCAGUCCCAGUUCCUGUUCUGGGAGCUUGGGGCUGAGUAGCCUCCAACCCUGCAAUCUGCAGUGUUCUACUGUGGAUUGCUUGUGUGUUGGCAGACUACUACUGGUAAGAAUGGCUAGUGUCGGCAGGGAUGGCUCCCUCUCUGGGUUCCAUCUCACCAAGAUGAGUGGUGCAAAUCUGAUCAC
ensembl:snoRNA Snord17 small nucleolar RNA, C/D box 17